ACUGUCCCUCGUUCCUCGCGAUGGGACACCAUCGCGAUGAAUAGGCGAUAAUUGAAACGGUCGAUGUUGCAAGAAGCGGCCGGCCGGCCAUCGCAUCAGGGUCAGCAACGAGGAAGCGUGCUGCGGUGGAAAAGAAGGGAAAAGGAGAGAGGAGGAAAGAAACGAGGAGGGACGAUCCUCUCCUCCCCCUCUCUCUUCGGUUGCAUAAUCCCGAUUUCGAUCCCCCUCGAUCGGCCGUCGUUCUUGUCUCGGGGUCAGCGUGCUUCGAAGAAAAUCACUUUCCUUCCCAUAGAAGCUACGUAUAUACAUACACAUAUACAUAUAUAUAUAUAUAAUAUACCGCGACCGCUCAUCGAGCAUACGUGCAUACGUGCACGUAAAAUAUACACUCGACGCGCACGCGCACAGACACGCGUAACUGCUCGCUCGCUCGCUCGCUCGCUUGGCUGGCUGGGUUGGCUGGCUGUGGAGAGCGGCGGAGCGCGUGCACCGAUUCUUCCUUCCUCCUCCUGCUCUUCCUGGUUUCUCAGCUCGUUACGAGGCAACCGACAAAUUAUCGGUGCCUCCCUUGCGCUCCCUUCCCUUCGUUGUGUUCGACGUGAUACACCAGAAGAGGGGAGGGGAGGGAGGGAAGGAUAGGGAAGGACGGAGGAACGACAGCACGAAAUCUCGGAUGCGCCUAGUAAACGCAGGCCUCCGCGUUUAUACUUUCACUUCCUUUCCACCUCGCAGCGGAGAGAGCUUCCCAUCUUUCUCCCCCUUCGACUCGUCCACCGAGUCUCGCUCCCUCCGGAUCUCUCGGACAUAGAACUACUUUUCCUUUCAAACCCUUGGACCGAGGGUAUAUUAUCCCGCACCGAAUCCAUCCAUUUCCUACUUUCCACACGCUGUUUGUAUUUAAUCAUUCCAUCGAUUUCCAUAAUUUCUCUCUUCUUCCUCCCUUCCUUUCCAUUCGAAUUCAGGCGUGGGACGAAUAGGUGUCGCGUCCAUCAGUGGCUAUUGCCGGUCGAUCACUGAACGAGGAGGACUCGAGGAGGCAGUUGGAGGAGGGAGAAGGAAGAAUGAAAGAGGGAAACGUGGCGUGACCUUUCCGCCGCGCGAGGAGGAGGAGAGGAGCGGCGCAGUCUGCGCGGAGCAUUGGCGAGGAGCCGGGCGAGGGAGCAAGGGUAGCCGAGGAGGGGUGGCGAGGAGGGGAUGAAAGAACGAGGCACGAGGUAGCGGCGGUGUUGUUCGUGAGCAGGGAACAAGGAGACUGCCGAAGAGAGGAGGCGGACCAGGAUGUUUCGCGCGUGUCGCUUUCGCGUGAUAUACGCGGAGACGAAGAAGAAGAAGAAGAAGAAGAAGAGGACGUUGACGUUAGACCCAUAAUAACAACUACAACAUAAACCACCGAUUCUUUGACUUGACAACUUUCGCUUCAAUUGGACAGGUACAUAAGGCGAAAGGGAAGAAUAAGGAGGGACAAGGAGGAAUGGAGGAAUCGAGGAUAGAAGUAACAAUGAAAGAGAAAAGGAAAAAGGAUAUGCGAUUGAUGGAGAAAAAUCAUCGAUAAGUAAAUUCAAGAUAAAUGAAAAGACACAAAGUAGCAAAUGAGUAUCUGGGAAAGGAUGCUGAAAAAAGGAAAAAGGAGAAAGAAACGUUGAUGUCAGCAACAACGAUCGACAACGAUUAAUAAGCGCUAAGACGAAAAGGAAGAAGAGGAAGAAGAAGAAGAGGAGGAGAAAGAGAAUAGGAGAUGAAAAAGAAGGUGGUGGACGUGUCGAGGAAAAGGAGACAAGAAGAAACGUGGAAACAAGAAAGCGAGGAGGGUCCCGAUGAUAGAGACAACUCUCCACCGCGGUGGAACGAGCGCGAAGGAGCAUGCAGAGGAAGAGACUGCGAAGGAAGGCUGCAGAAGGCGGGUUGGCGAGUAGUGGAGCGGGCCGGUGGGGCGGAGAGAGGAGGGCAGAGGAGGUGAGUCGAGAUGAUGCAGUUGUGCGUUUGCAAGGAAGGCGGAAGGAGGAACCGCGGAGGGAACCGGUCCCGGUCACUGGGCCACCAGCCGGCCGUCGAACCCGCCAUACUGCCCCCUACCACCCCCUACCCCACCUUUUCCUCGCCAUCUUUCUGUCCCUCUUCGCUCUUCCUCGCGUCUCUGCCUCGCGGCCUGUCUCCGUCUCGCUUCCUUCGCUCUCCCUCUGCCGCCUCCUCCUCCCACUCCUCCUCCUCCUCCGCUCCCUUGGAGGAAAGCGUGCCUCCAUCGCGAAACCUCUUUCUCAAUUCGUCGACGAACGCGACGAAAAUGACGAAGCACAAAAUUGACCACGAGGAUGAAAACGAAGGAACGAAGAAGACAAAGAGGAAAACAAGGAUGAAAGAUGGCACGACAAAGAAGAUGAUUACUCUUAGAUACCUCCUUCCUCCUCCUCCUCCUCUUCUUCUUCGAGUUCUUCAAACAAUGUCAACCGGCGUGUGCGGCAUUGUAUGCGCCGAUAAUGCCACCGGUGGCCACCAUGUUUACCGGCCCGAGGCUAUAUGCUAGAGGAGACUACGGUUCCCGCCGUGACCGACGUUUUCGCGUGUCUCCUCGUCCCCUCCGAAGAUCGCACGCUUUUAACGGUGAGAAUGAACACGGAUCGGAUGGACGAUGCCUGCUCGGAUCCUGUCCCGGAUGAACUUGCCGUUUAAAUAGGCGAACAGUGGAACGGUACGAUGAUUAUUCGCGAUAUAAUGGUAAAUUUAAAACGGUAAUUUUUGUUGGAAUAUCACUUUUGGGUAUAUAUAAUUUUCCUUUCGAAUUUCGUGAUUGGAUUUUGAAACGUAUUUCGAAAAAUUAUAAAAAUUGCUUGAAAAUCGCUCGAUCGAGUUUUAGCGGAGAUCCAUAAUCUUGGAAAAACUUGGAAUCGUUUUUUUUAUCAUCCACACGAUUCGAAUUAGAUAAGGAUAAUCUCGGUUGAAACGUCGAUGGGCGAGCGCGUGUGCAAACACGGCCGAUAUAUCGAAGCGGUGAAAAGGAACGGAGACACGGGCACGGUCGUUCGCGUGGAAGAAUGGAGGAAUUAGUUUUGGAUCGGGCUUUCGAUCGUGAGAGAGCAGGCGAGCAGGUAGCGCAAACGGAAGCUUAGUACUCGUACACGGUAAUCUCGCCGAGAUACGCCAAACAUUUUCUCUUAAUUAAGAAAGGACGUGGCCGUAAUUAAGUUUCCCUUCCACGUUAUUCUCCUGCUCGUUUCAAGCCGUGCCGCGCGUUACGCCGUCAAAACUGAGUGUUCAGUGGCUUCGAACGAUGACUUCUGCUUUUCAUUAACCACUCUAAUUCGUCAAAUACUGCAAUAGUUCUCUUAUACGGUUAUUAUAUAUCGUAUUUUUCUCGUUUUCUCGUUCGAAGAUCGAUUCUAGAAGCCAAAAAAAAAAAGCACAAAAGUUUGUAUACAAAAAUGUGAGCUCGAGCUUUAUUUAAGAAGAAUGUAAGUUUGCGCUGGAUAAAGCGAGAAAACAAGACUCUAUUUGUAUCUCAUUUUGUCUAAUUUAUCUAAACUUCAAUUGCUUAUAACUUAUAUAACUUAAUAAAUACGCUUUGAUCAA